AGCGAACGCUAGCGGGUGGCUUAACACAUGCAAGUCGAGCGGACGGUUUCGGCCGUCAGCGGCGAACGGGUGAGUAACACGUAGGAUAUCUACCUCGGGGGUGGGGACGAACCCGCCGAAAGGACGGGCGUGAUACCGCAUAUGGCCUAAGGGUCGAAAGACAGCAAUGUGCCUUGAGAUGAGCCUGCGGCCCAUUAUUUAAUCCUAGUUGGCGGGGUAAGUGGCCCACCAAGGGUACGAUGGGUAGCUGGUCUGAGAGGACGAUCAGCCACACUGGGACUGAGACACGGCCCAGACUCCUACGGGAGGCAGCAGCGGGGAAUAUUGCGCAAUGGGCGAAAGCCUGACGCAGCCAACCCGCGUGUGUGAUGAAGGCCCUUCGGGUUGUAAAGCACUGUCGUGAGGGAAGAAGAUCUGACGGUACCUCACAAGAAAGACACCGGCUAACCCCGU
rnacentral:rRNA from 1 species